CUCAAAUCUGUUACGAAAGAGGAGACAUAAGAGAAGACUCCGUCAGUAGACUUCCAGGAAGUCUUCCAUGAAGUCAGAAGACUUCGAAGUCUUCGGGUGCAUUAUAUUUUAGAAGACUUUCGAGAAGACUUCCCAGAAGUCUUCUUGAGUCAGAUCCUGAUCUGAAAAACUUGCUUAUCCAAACCCAGAUCUGAAAAACCUGCAUAUCCAUAAAUGUUUUAAUGGCUUCAAAAAAGAGAAAAUGAGUGGAAUAUUAGAUAGAUUUACCUUUAUAAAACACACAAAAAUAGAUAUCCAAAAUGUAUAAAUUUAUUUUUAAAUGAGUGGAAGAUGAGAAUCAUUUGAUAAAAAAUCUGCAAAAACUAGAUAAAUUAGUGAGAAAGACACGAGACAAAAAAUGAAAAAUUGAUUAAAAAAAAAUAUGGUGUUUUUAAGUUCAAAAAAAUUAAAAAGAGGUUGGAAAGUGUUAGUUUAAGAAAAAAGUAGCUUUAUGCAACAAGAGAUUACCAAAUGGAAAAAAAAAAUCAAACAUGGAGAUUUACCAAAACACUCAAAUUUGUUAUGAAAGAAGAUACAUGGAAGAAGACUCCGUCAUAAGUCUUCCUGAAGUCAGCGCAUAAUAUUUUAGAAGACUUCCGAGAAGACUUCCCAGAAGUCUUCCAGAGUCUGAUUCAGAUCUAAUAAACAUGCAUAUCCAAAC
rnacentral:lncRNA from 1 species